AUGAUUAGGACUGCUAUGUGGAGUCUUUAUGUAUUAUGUGUUGGAUAUUUUUAUUUCAGUAACUGUUGUUUAUUUUUUUUAAUUAAUUGUGAUAGUUAUUGGAAGUUUUAGUAUUGUGAAUAUAUGUAAAAGAGGCAGUGUAUGUUUAGUUUCCUUUAUAGAUCAAUUACAUGAAUGAAAGCAUUUAUUUCUCCUCUUGUUCAUUUCCUGCAACUAUUUCCUAUUAAAUUAACAACAAUUGGUAUUUAGAACCCUAUUCAUAAGGGAUCUGUGUGCAAGUUUAACGUCGUGGAAAGUGAAGCAACUCUCUCUAGAAUCGCUCUGACAGUGUUUGACAGAAGCAACUACCAACUUUGGGCAAUGUGUAUGAAGGCAUAUUUGGAAGCUUUAGAUUUGUGGGAAGCAGUAGGAAAAGAUUAUUAAAUUCAUGUACUUCAGAACAAUCCCACACCAUGACACAAGUAAAAGUGCAAAAGGAUAAAAAGACACAGAAAGCAAAGGCAAUGGCAUGCUAAUUUGACUCAACCACUAUUUUCACAAGAAUAAUGUCCUUAAAUUUGUUAAUUAUUUGCUUUUAGGACUGCAUUAUGUAGCUUUUCUUUAUGUUUAUUUUAUUUUGUGUCAGUUAUUUCAG
rnacentral:lncRNA from 1 species